GCCUUCGUGGUGUAGAGGUUAGCACGCUUGGCGAGUAUCCAAGAGGUCCGUGGUUCGAUUCCAGGCGAGGGCA